rnacentral:rRNA from 1 species
CCCGCAACGAGCGCAACCCUUGCCAUUAGUUGCUACAUUCAGUUGAGCACUCUAAUGGGACUGCCGGUGACAAACCGGAGGAAGGUGGGGAUGACGUCAAGUCCUCAUGGCCCUUAUAGGUGGGGCUACACACGUCAUACAAUGGCUGGUACAAAGGGUUGCCAACCCGCGAGGGGGAGCUAAUCCCAUAAAGCCAGUCGUAGUCCGGAUCGCAGUCUGCAACUCGACUGCGUGAAGUCGGAAUCGCUAGUAAUCGUG